rnacentral:rRNA from 1 species
AGUGGCGAACGGGUGAGUAAAGUAUCGGAACGUGCCCAGUCGUGGGGGAUAACGUAGCGAAAGUUACGCUAAUACCGCAUACGAUCUAUGGAUGAAAGCGGGGGAUCGCAAGACCUCGCGCGAUUGGAGCGGCCGAUAUCAAAUUAGGUAGUUGGUGGGGUAAAGGCUCACCAAGCCGACGAUCUGUAGCUGGUCUGAAAGGACGACCAGCCACACUGGGACUGAGACACGGCCCACACUCCUACGGGAGGCAGCAGUGGGGAAUUUUGGACAAUGGGCGCAAGCCUGAUCCAGCCAUGCCGCGUGCAGGAUGAAGGCCUUCGGGUUGUAAACUGCUUUUGUACGGAACGAAAAGGUUUGGCCUAAUAAGCUGAGCUCAUGACGGUACCGUAAGAAUAAGCACCGGCUAACUACGUGCCAGCAGCCGCGGUAAUACGUAGGGUGCGAGCGUUAAUCGGAAUUACUGGGCGUAAAGCGUGCGCAGGCGGUUAUAUAAGACAGAUGUGACAUCCGCGGGCUCAACCUGGGAACUGCAUUAGUGACUGCAUAGCUGGAGUACGGCAGAAGGGGGAUGGAAUUCCGCGUGUAGCAGUGAAAUGCGUAGAUAUGCGGAGGAACACCGGAUGGCGAAUGCAAUCCCCUGGGCCUGUACUGACGCUCAUGCACGAAAGCGUGGG